GAUGGGAAAAGAGAGAUAGAAGAAGAGAGAGAGGAAGAUGGAGGUUUCAGAAGAAGAAGGAAUUAAUUUUCUCUAGGACCUACAGGAUCCUUUUAUUAAUCUUCAAGGUCUCAAUUUAGGAAUUAUACAACCAUAUUUUUCUCUAAUUAGAAAGAUUACAUUCUUAAUUAGAGGGGUCUAUAGCUUAUUUCAACACUCCCCCUC
rnacentral:lncRNA from 1 species